rnacentral:tRNA from 1 species
GCUUCCUUAGCUCAGUCGGUAGAGCGCCAGUCUCAUAGGUUCAUUAUGAGCAGUGGAGUAUACUGCCUAAUCUGGAGGUCGCAAGUUCGAGACUUGCAGGGAGCA